rnacentral:rRNA from 1 species
GACGAACGCUGGCGGCGUGCUUAACACAUGCAAGUCGAACGAGAGCGUAGAGAAAGCUUGCUUUUUCUACAAUCUAGUGGCCAACGGGUGAGUAACGCGUAAACAACCUGCCCUACGGAUGGGGACAACAGCUGGAAACGGCUGCUAAUACCGAAUACGUUCCGAAAGUCGCAUGACUAUCGGAAGAAAGGAUGGCCUCUAUUUAUAAGCUAUCGCCGGAGGAGGGGUUUGCGUCUGAUUAGCUAGUUGGAGGGGUAACGGCCCACCAAGGCGACGAUCAGGAGCCGGUCUGAGAGGAUGAACGGCCACAUUGGAACUGAGACACGGUCCAGACUCCUACGGGAGGCAGCAGUGGGGAAUCUUCCGCAAUGGGCGAAAGCCUGACGGAGCAACGCCGCGUGAGUGAAGACGGCCUUCGGGUUGUAAAGCUCUGUUAUACGGGACGAAUAAUCUUGUGGUUAAUACCCAUGAGAAGUGACGGUACCGUAAGAGAAAGCCACGGCUAACUACGUG